rnacentral:lncRNA from 1 species
UUGAAUCUUGUGUCAUUUUUAGUAUAAUAGUUUGACUUGGAUCACUUUAAACUUACAUUUGUUAAAUUUAAAAUAUUCAAUUUUUUUUUUUAAAAAAAUUAUAUAUAAUUUUAACAACUUUAUACGAUAUGCUUAUACUAAUCAUAAUUAGUUUGUUAAGAAUAUUAACAUAUACAUAUAGAUUUGAUUAAAUCUAAUCUAUAUAUGAUUUGAAUAAUAGAUAUGGAAUCUGAAUGUGGUUGGGAAGUUGAUAGAUAUUAAGGUCGAAAUAACAUGAUAUUUGUUAGAGAAUAUCAUCUAUUAAAAAAAAUAGAUUAAGGAAAAGUAACAAAAAAUAUGUUGUUCUUGGUGGAUUUCUUGUUUGCAAGACACGUAAUCUUGGAGAAACAUGUAUGAAUUGUAUACAUGUAUGAAUCGUAUUCUGUGAUAUGAU